UGAUUAAAGGUGUGAGCGCUGUGAUUAAU
rnacentral:piRNA from 1 species